AUGCAGUCGAAGGAGCGGGGCACCUGGCGGCGAGUGGCGAACGGGUGAGUAAUAUAUCGGAACGUACCCUGGAGUGGGGGAUAACGUAGCGAAAGUUACGCUAAUACCGCAUACGAUCUAAGGAUGAAAGCAGGGGACCGCAAGGCCUUGUGCUCCUGGAGCGGCCGAUAUCUGAUUAGCUAGUUGGUGGGGUAAAGGCCUACCAAGGCAUCGAUCAGUAGCUGGUCUGAGAGGACGACCAGCCACACUGGAACUGAGACACGGUCCAGACUCCUACGGGAGGCAGCGGUGGGGAAUUUUGGACAAUGGGCGCAAGCCUGAUCCAGCAAUGCCGCGUGAGUGAAGAAGGCCUUCGGGUUGUAAAGCUCUUUUGUCAGGGAAGAAACGGUGAGGGCUAAUAUCCUUUGCUAAUGACGGUACCUGAAGAAUAAGCACCGGCUAACUACGUGCCAAGCAGCCGCGGUAAUACGUAGGGUGCAAGCGUUAAUCGGAAUUACUGGGCGUAAAGCGUGCGCCAG
rnacentral:rRNA from 1 species